rnacentral:misc_RNA from 1 species
GAGAGAGAGAGAGAGAGAGCUGCUGUGUGAGAGAGGUGCUGUGAAAAAGAGGAAGCAGCGUAUUCUCUUUUUGGCAUGACAAAAGAAGAGCCUUCUUAAGGUUCUUUUAAUUUUUGUUCGAUAAAAAAAAAUUAAAAAUAAAAAGUAGACAUUUAUUGCAAGAGGCGUCGCCUCCCUCGCGUCCUCCCCAUUGCCUCUUCCUCCCAGGCGGUUGCCUCUUGCAAGCAAGGGAAGGCAGUGCAGGCGAGGCGCUACAAGCUCGCCUUACCUAGCUUCUUUUCUCACCUUUAACAACACUGGGCGUGCCUCAUGAAGAUCGCCACCUGGAGAGCUUUAAGGCAUUGUGCUGUGAGCCUAGGUUGCCUUGACCUCAGGCGCGCCUUUAACAACUAUGUUGUUUUACAUUAUGACUUUGCUUAUUCUUCUGCGCAAGCACACAUAUUAAAUUACAUCUAUUAAAUCAGAUGUGGAAAGCAUGUGUGUGUGGCUUAUAUGAGAUUCUGCGCUUUAGUAAAAUUAUCAUGGUUUUACUAAGGAGUGUAUCCUGUCUCUUAACUGUGUGCGCGCGUUUUGUCUAUUGACAAAAGAAACAAAAAGUUGUAGCCUAUAGGGGUUCUGCAUUGGAGCCAUCCACGCAUAUCCUGCAGCCAAGUGGUCAAGUGGGCUGGUCCUUCGGAUCCCACGUUGAAUGUGGAAAGUAUGUGACGUGUGACUUUUAUGGGAUUUUGCAACUUGGUAAAAUUGUCAUGGUUCUACCAAGGAGCGUGUCUUAUCCCUGAGCCAUGUGUGUGCGCGAUAUGCCUAUCGGCAAAAAUAAAAAAAUAAAAUAUUCCAAAAUUAUUUUUAUGAAUUUAAAUUAUAUUGUAUUAGUAUAAAAUAAUGAGUAAUUAUUAACCUGUGACAAUUGCAAAUAAAGAUGAAGAUAUCUCACUUUUGUCACUUGAGUAACUAAUGUUGUCGAUAAUUUAUUUUAUUAGUGUGUUAACUUAAAUUAUUAAUUUUUUUCUAUUUUAUUAUCUUUUAUAGUAUAAAAAUAUAUAAAAAUUUUCUAUUUAUCCUGAU